UGAGACAUUAGUUCUCGUACGAUCACCGAAGUUAAGCAACGGCGAGCCUGGUCAGUACCUGGAUGGUUGACUGUUUGGAAAUACCAGGUGCU